rnacentral:snRNA from 1 species
GUGCUGGCUUCAGCAGUACAUAUACUAAAAUUGGAACAAUACGGAGAAGAUUAACAUGGCACCUGGGCAAGAAUGACACACAAAUUCGUGAAGCAUUCCAUAUUUUU